GUGGAGCUAUGAAACAAAAUAAUAAUGGUUUUAAUGCCUGCCCAUCUAUUUAUCUUUAUUGGAGAGUCUUUAUAUGUUCAUGUGGCUUGGAGUUAACUAUCUAGCAUCUUUUUGUUAUAACUCAAAGGACUCCAUUUAACAUCUCUUGUAAUCAGGAAUAGUGGUAACAAGCUCUCUGGAAUGUCAUAAUUUCCCCCUUGUUUUUGAAGGAGAGUUUUGCCCGAUAAUUCUUGUUUGAUAGUUUUUUCUUUCUGGACGUUAUAAUUUUUCUUUCUUUUUCUUUUUUAAAUAAAGAAAAAGGGUUUAUUUGGCUCAUGGUCUUGCAGGUAGUAUAAGAAGUAUGGCGCCAGCAACUGCUUCUGGUGAGACCUCAGGAAGCUUACAAUCAUAGAGGAAGGCAAGAGGAGCUGGCUUGUCACAGGGAGUGGAGUGUGGAUGUUUGAGAAGCAUCUACAGUUUGAAGCACAAUAUCAGCAAUAUUACCAGCAGAGAGACAUCAACAGGAUUGUGAGAUGAAGCAUUUGUCUGCAAUCUGUAAUGCCUCAAGCCUUGCUACUCUUUCAAGUGAAGCCCUUGGUCUAAGAGCAUUGAUGUUACCAGAAGUUUUGAGAAGUUCAGCAACCCAAGUUCUACCUAAGACAUACCAUAUUAGAAUUUGCAUCUUUAAUAAGAUUCCCAGGAAACAAUCACUGGUGCACCAUAUGUCCCCCCUUGAGUGACCUUGAUGACACAGUGCAGAAACAUCUCUCAUGUGUAGCCAGAUCUGUUUGCUAUUGUAAUUUUAUGAACUACCAAUAAGCCUCAAGGGCCUGGAAGCAGAGCUGUCUUGAGAGGUAUGUGAGCUAUGAGAAGUGGGCUUUUCCAGGUAAGAGAGAGAUGAUAUUCCCCCAGGCAAGGGGAGCUCAUGCCUCUUUGAUUAUGAAGCAUAUACAUUAUGUCACUGGAAAUAAGGAAGCGUUAGUAGAAGCUCCAGAAAGGAGUCUCCAGUUAGGCAUGUUGAUUGGCUAGCAUUGAGCAGUAGCCUCAACUUACCUGGGACACAAAUGGCUUAUGAGUUGGAACGUGAACUCUAUGGCCAAAAACAUUUGAUUUUCGUUAAAGAUGGCCACAGAAAGUUGCAAGUGAUUGUUUUCCAAAGGACACACCUAAGGGUGAGAGUGGAGGACAUAAAUGUAAUAAUGUAUAGAUGGCCAAUUAGAAGAUGUUUUGAAUUGCUAACUGCCUAAAAACAUUCAAUCACAUUGGUUCAUAGAAUUACACAAAGAAUUAAAAGCCUGCUGCUCUGAGGGUGUCUCAGCUGGACAACCAACAAAAGCUAUACCUGGCCAGUCAGAAUGUGAAAGGAGGAGGUGGCAGUGAUAACAUUUCACUUCCUACUGUGGCAGCGUCCACUCCUUUAGAUUUAGCUUUCAAAUAACAACCUCUCUGGCUCCUCACCUGGCCCCAGCUGGAGAAGGCCCACUCCACACACAGCUGCUGGUUACAGGCCUGGGUGUCCACAGGCCGCUUGGCAACCUGGGUGCACAUGUCAUUGGACACAGGGGUGGAGAUCCCAGAGGCUUUCAGCUUUUGACAGGUCACCCUGCGGGUCUGGACACCUCCCCCACAGCUCCGGGUACAGGCAGACCAGGAGGUCACCAUCCACCUGGGGAGAGGAAGAAGUGUCAGGAGAGCCCUAAAGGGACAAGCCCUGGGGAAAAGAGAUCCCCUCCCCACCCCACAUCCCUGCUCUUGCCACUGAUUUGGGGCCAGUACCCUUUUCACAGUAUAUACUUGGAAAGAUAGGCUGAAAAAUGACUCCUCCAAAAGAUAUCCAUGUCAAAUCCCUAGUGCCUGUGAAUGUUACCUUAUGUGGCAAGGUUCUUUGCAGAUGUAAUUAUGGA